rnacentral:lncRNA from 1 species
ACCAGCCCCCUAAUCCUCCUUCCUCAACUUUUCAUCGUCAAAACCCAACCAAACUGGACCUCUUCCAUCGCCAAAACAACAACAUUCAACGUCAUUCUUUCCUCUUUUCUCUCUGCCAACGAUGGCAGCCUAUGAACCACCGGAAAUUGAUAUUUUCCUUUGAGUUUCCACCUCUCCCCAUUACUUUUUCACUUCUCCAUCAAUCAAGCCGCCCACUGUCACCUCACCCGUCUCUUUUUCUCAAAUCAUCCCUCCCCCACUAAUGUUCAUGGGGAAGUAAAGAAUUCGAAGGACGCUCGGAUUUGGGUUUAAUUCGAUGGAUCCGAACGCUUUACCUUCGAGUUGUCUCGUCUCCCCUUCAAAUCGGCUUGAAAAAGUAAGCCAUCCAUUUUUCUUUCUCUAAUUUCAUCAUUAUUUCUCAAAAAAGUAGUUUCCCAAGAAUUCAAAUUUUUCACUUUUGAAGCUUCCAUCAGAGCCGUUUGAACCUUCUUUCAGCUAUAAAAGGGAAGCUUUGGAAUCCCUUUGAGAGAAAUAUAUAGACAAAAGCAAACACUAGAACAUUUCAAUAGCUUCCUCACUUGCUCUUUAUUUCUUUCUUUAAUUCAUUUUCUUUUCCGGUUCUUCUCGAAGCCCUUGGAGUUUAUAUCGAAGUCAAAAUCGCUAGUGUAGAACUGGACACUCGACGGGCUCAAUCGCUGCCCAACAAAAGAUACAAAUUCGUCCCUUUCAUUUCACUUUCAUUCUCUUCUUUCAUCUCAUUUUUGGAUGGGAGUAUGUGAUUUUGUUCUAAUCCUAGAUUUUGUUGUUGUUUUCGUGAUAGAAUAUAAUUCUGAUUUUGGUGAAGUUAUCUUGGGUCUGAAAAUCUGUUUCAUGAAUAUAUGGGCCUUUAAAUACAUGAACAUAGUACUUAUAUAGGAUUCAAGUUUAUAUUGAUAUUGUUAUCCCCAUUUUGAAUUUAUAGACUUGAUUUCGUCCCAAAUUCCCAUUUUCACAAUUAUUUUGUGGUCAAAUUCUGCAAGAUAUGUGAAAAUCUCUUCUUACUCGGCCUUUGUCUCCCUUGUUUCAUUUUGUCUAUUCAUGUAUAGAUUUGUGUACAUGUAAUUUAUUUCCGUUUAAAUGUAUGUUGACGUUGUUUUUUUUAUCUUCAUUUGUUCAAUAGCUGUCAUGUGUUUUCUUUACACCUUUACGAGUAUGUUGCUAAGUAUUCCCUAUUGUUGGAUAAAUUGAAAAUGGUAUAUUUAGUUUUGGGCUUGGUUUGGGUUGUGUUUUGGUUUAGUGCCUCGAUUUCAAAUAGUUCUUGUUCACAUUUUCGUUCCGAGUUUGAGACAUGAUUUUCAUAAUCUCUCUGGUCAUGAAAAGUUAGUGGAUCUAUGUUGAAUUUUGCCAAAGUGUGUAUAGUUGACUUCUCUUAAAAAAUAAAAAGAAGAUUCAUGGAGAUUUUGCGUCUUUGGCUUCGAAUUUAUAUUUGCAUCAUAAGGUGAAUAUUCUUUUACCUUUAUGGAAAGUGUGUUUAUAUUUUCUUGAAUUUGAGUUUAGACGGAAAAAAAAAGAGGGACUUCAACGUGUCUAUUGCUAAUUUUUUUUUCUUUUUUUAAAUGGCCUAUCUAAGAUGAAUAGGCUCAAAUGUUUUAUCACUGUGGGUGUCUUGACAAUUGCUUAUGUUAAUCAUAUUUCCUAAGCUUUCCCCGUUAAAGUAUGUAAACAAUUUAGAGUGAAUAGACAUUUCGUUCUCCUCUUUUGGAAUACCCAUCUUGCUUUAAAAAAGCAUGUCUUUUGAAUCAUACGUCUCUCUUAAUCUUUACAUUUUUAUGCAUUUUUAGUUAAUUAGUUUUCUAAUCCUUAUUUUUCUUAUUUUACAUGUAAAUUCGGAAGUUUGAGUUUCAAUCGAAACUCCAUUUUGAUUCAAACAUCGGAUCAACCGCCACUAGAAUCGCGGAGCUUCUAAGUACCGUAGAUUAGAAACUCAACUCCGUUAGGAGUCUAGUAUCUAUUCUCUUUUUUAAUUAUUCACGUUCUGUUGCUAGUCCUUUGAAAUAGUAUUUAAUUAUUAUUAGUUAUUUGGAUUUCAUAUUUUUGUUAUUUGUGUUUAU